UCCUGAGCUCAGUAAAAAAUGGGGAUGCA
rnacentral:piRNA from 1 species